GGCCUUGGGGUGUUACAUGUUAGAUUGCAAAUCUAAAGAAGCAGACUAACGUCUGCCGGGGCUU
rnacentral:tRNA from 1 species